rnacentral:rRNA from 1 species
UACACUCCUGCGGGAGGCAGCAGUGGGGAAUUUUGGACAAUGGGCGAAAGCCUGAUCCAGCAAUGCCGCGUGAGUGAAGAAGGCCUUCGGGUUGUAAAGCUCUUUUGUCAGGGAAGAAACGGUGAAAGCUAAUAUCUUUUGCUAAUGACGGUACCUGAAGAAUAAGCACCGGCUAACUACGUGCCAGCAGCCGCGGUAAUACGUAGGGUGCAAGCGUUAAUCGGAAUUACUGGGCGUAAAGCGUGCGCAGGCGGUUUUGUAAGUCUGAUGUGAAAUCCCCGGGCUCAACCUGGGAAUUGCAUUGGAGACUGCAAGGCUAGAAUCUGGCAGAGGGGGGUAGAAUUCCACGUGUAGCAGUGAAAUGCGUAGAUAUGUGGAGGAACACCGAUGGCGAAGGCAGCCCCCUGGGUCAAGAUUGACGCUCAUGCACGAAAGCGUGGGGAGCAAACAGGAUUAGAAACCCGUGUAGUCCC